CAGUCGCCGCGGUAAUACGUAGGUGGCAAGCGUUGUCCGGAAUUAUUGGGCGUAAAGGGCUCGCAGGCGGUUUCUUAAGUCUGAUGUGAAAGCCCCCGGCUCAACCGGGGAGGGUCAUUGGAAACUGGGAAACUUGAAUGCAGAAGAGGAGAGUGGAAUUCCACGUGUAGCGGUGAAAUGCGUAGAGAUGUGGAGGAACACCAGUGGCGAAGGCGACUCUCUGGUCUGUAACUGACGCUGAGGAGCGAAAGCGUGGGGAGCGAACAGGAUUAGAUACCCCUGUAGUCCCUGUCUCUUAUAC
rnacentral:rRNA from 1 species